rnacentral:rRNA from 1 species
CCUACGGGAGGCAGCAGUGAGGAAUAUUGGUCAAUGGGCGAGAGCCUGAACCAGCCAAGUCGCGUGAGGGAGUACUGCCCUAUGGGUUGUAAACCUCUUUUGUCGGGGAGCAAAAGCCGGACGUGUCCGGCUGUGAGAGUACCCGAAGAAAAAGCAUUGGCUAACCCCGUGCCAGCAGCCGCGGUAAUCCGGAGGAUGCGAGGGUUAUCCGGAUUUAUUGGGUUUAAAGGGUGCGCAGGGGGGUUUUUAAGUCAGCGGGAAAAUCGUGGGGCUCAACCCCUGCCAGCCGUUGAAACUGGGGAUCUAGAGUGUGCGAGAGGUAUGCGGAAUGCGUGGUGUAGCGGUGAAAUGCAUAGAUAUCACGCAGAACCCCGAUUGCGAAGGCAGCAUACCGGUGCACAACUGACGCUCAGGCACGAAAGCGUGGGUAUCGAACAGGAUUAGAUACCCCUGUAGUC